rnacentral:rRNA from 1 species
UACGUAUGGUGCGAACGUUGUUCGGAAUCACUGGGCAUAAAGGGCUCGUAGGCGGUUUGUCGCGUCGGGAGUGAAAUCCACUGGCUUAACUGGUGGCUUGCUUUCGAUACGGGCAGACUGGAGGUAUGCAGGGGAGAACGGAAUUCCUGGUGUAGCGGUGAAAUGCGCAGAUAUCAGGAGGAACACCGGUGGCGAAGGCGGUUCUCUGGGCAUGUCCUGACGCUGAGGAGCGAAAGUGUGGGGAGCGAACAGG